UAUCUCUCCGUACGGGGAAGGAUGAGAAGCUUCGACUAAGGUUCGAUUCGAGCGCAGCGAGAAAACGUUGCCGCAGG
rnacentral:sRNA from 1 species